GUCCAGCUGACGAGUCUCAAAUAGGACGAAACGUGCGUCCUGGAU
rnacentral:hammerhead_ribozyme from 1 species